ensembl:lincRNA
CAAGAAUGGAGGCGGAGAUUGCAUGAGCUUUCGAUACGAGACACUGAACGUUCAUUGCCUGGUGCUUCAGAGCUCACUGCAAGUAGACCAUGGAGAUGUUCAUGAGGAGGCGCAGCCUGUUCGACUCGACCUCACUUCGGAAAGGUUCUCGAGGAAGUGGUAACAUGGAGGUGGUUCUAACCAAGAUUUGUUCAUUAGAAAAUGUUUGUGAACAAAUGAAUUAUGCCAAGCACGCUGCCAGCAAUGCGGAAGUAUCUAAAUCGUGCCUCCCUGAUAUAAUGGAGGCAAAUGAGGCCCUUGUUCAUAGCUUGAUGAAGCGCAGGUCUCAGGACUCUGGAUUGGAAUUGCCGAACCUUGACUGUGCUUUGUCAGCACUCGAGUCAUCAGAAGGCAUGUCCGACAUGCAGGAGCACCACAAAGCUCUGGAACUGCCAGCUUCUGAUGUGGCUGAUGUGCUUGAUGGAGAUUCUGAUGGAGACUCAUCAACUUCCCAAACAAACAGCCCUGCAAAAAUGACAUCAGAAACGCAAGAACCAGAGGACAGAGGAACACCGACGUCUCCUGCUGAUUCUGAUCAGCAGGACGUAGCAGGGGAAGGAGAAGACUGCAAUGAGAAGCAGCAACAGACUGUGGGUGGAGCAAGCAGCAAAAGGCUGUCAUUUCAACAAACCCAGCAGGAUUGGUGCGAUCUGGAAAGAAAAUGGGAUGAUUUUGCACAAAAGCAGAGGCAACGCAAACAGAUCAAGCCUGGAAAUCAUCUGGGCUCGGGCAUGGAACAUUUGGAUCAGCUCUGCCGCCUGAUGGAAAGGCUGGGAGAGUUGCAGGAUGGUAACAAGAGGCUGCGACAUGAGAUGCACAAUCUUAAAGUCCAGCUGCAUGUCUCACAAAGCCAGCAAGAUGCAAUGGUGGCACAAUGCAGCUGCGCUGCCCACAAGCUUGAUCAUCUGCAAGGAAGGAGCAAGACGACAUGUCGUUAUCGCUCACAUUCUGAGACCGAGGUGCACAACAUGGACAAGAAAAAUGGCCUCAAAGGAUUGUAUUCACGAAGCAGCUCUUUGAACAGGGCAUUUCAAAAACCAUUGGGCUCCAAGCUUUGCCUGAGCAAAUCACGCUUAAAGGUGAGGACACUUAAUCUUGAAAUAUUGCGGAACAUGUUACAGAUGAAACUUCUGUGAAAGAUUAUUUUACCUGUUUGUUUUUUGCUUACUUGCUCCUUAACUACAAAGUGACGUUUUAUGCACUUUUUCACCCCUCCCCCUUUCCUUCUAUACUAUUCCUUCCUCCUCUUUGUUCCAACCCAUUCUACAUUUUGUUGCAGUUUCAGUUUUGAGGCACAUCCAGUCACUUGAUUUGGCAUCUCUGUUGAUCAGAAUGUUUUUUACUUCUGCUGUGACAAACAAUAGAAAUUGGCAAGAGGUCACCAAGUCUGAUUUAUGGAGUUCCUGAGUGGCUAUAAUGGUCAUCUAUCAUGCUUGUUGCCUCGUUUGUACAUUGAAACGGUUUCAUUCUGUUAGAUUGUAGUGCUUUGGAUGUGUACUUCAAGAUCACUGCAAGAACAGAAGUUGUGGUUUUUUUUGGACAGAAAGGGCAGGAAAUAAAUACCAUAUCUAGAGUAUUUGAAAGGACAUAUGAGGUAACGCUAUUGAGACUAUAUAGCAGAGUACGGUUUAAGAAGCUUGAACUGAUAUGCAGGAUAAUGUAUGAAUGCUGAAACUGUAUAAGCUAUUACACCAAAGAUUAUUUACUAUUGUGUUGGACUUAAUGGUACAGGACACGUUUCAGGUAAGGUGACUGUCUCGUGUAUCCCUUGUUUUAAACAUGUCAUUAAAAUUUAUCACUUUGCUGUGAGAUAAGUAGUUUUUUUAAAAUUCAUAUUAUUAUUAUUAUUAUUGUCAUUAUUAGAAUUCUUAGCUUGACCAAACCAGGAGAUAUGCUUUAGCUCAUUUGGAAUUUUUUUUUACUAUUGAGAGAAAGGUUUUUUGGGGAAAUGGAUAAAUUAAUACUCAUCAAGAAAAUGUUUAAUGGGGUGUAAUGACUUGUUACAAAAUUGUGGCUUUCAACCUUUAUCGAUACAGAUGCAUUUUAUUCAAACUACAUCUGUAGAAGCUGUAACUACUUUUUGAAAUUGAUGGUGCUAUUGUUAAGAAUGCACAGCAACUUUGUGCUUUUAUUUUUUGGUACAUUUUUUUCAACCAAAUGUUGCCAGCACAAGCUAUUGGUGCUCAUGACUUGAACAGUUCUUGAAGCCAUCAAAAAAAGCAACCACUUGAUGUGCAAUAUAUGAUGUACAGUAUAUUAUUUUUGAUUUAUAAAUAAAGUAUGCUGAUGAAGAUACAGUUGCAUUUUUAUUUGGUACUAGCAAAUACAACCUGUCAUUAUGCUGACAGGGAUAUAAAGGGGAGGGGGGAGAGGAGAGGAUGGAGGGAGGAAGGGAAGAGAGAGAGAGAGAGAGAGAGAGAGAGAGAGAGGGGGGGGGGGGGGGGGGGGGGGGGGGGGGGGGGGGGGGGGGGGGGAGAGAGUAAAGAGGGGAGGGAGGGGAGAGGAGCUAGGAAGGGGAAAAGAGUGAGUAAGGGGAGGGGGUGGGGAAGAGUGACACCUUACCAAAUGUUGCUCUGCAUUGCAGGAUGGUAGGGUGCGAAGAGGAAGUGAGACAGAGACAGAGACUGAGAGAGGAGGGGGGAGGGGUGGUGGGAGGAGGAGGAAAAAAAGAGAUAGGUGAGGGGUGGAGGUUAGCAAAGAGAAUCAUAUGUUAUGCUUAAUGACCGAACACACACGCACAAAAAAAUAAAAACAACUCAUGUCAGAACAGCUGUACACACAACGACACAACAGAGUUUGUAAAGAAAUCCGCUGGCACAUCUGCAAAAAAUUUGAUACCCCAGUUCCAGAAAAUUCGUGGGAACAUGAACCAAAAGCAAUCACUGAAAACAUGGAAGUACGGUUCACGUACAACCUCAUGAUCCCAUUGAGCGUGACCAUCAUAAACAAAGCAUUGUAACCAGAAAUCAUACUUAAGCACAAAAAAGAGAGAAGAAGGCAUUGCUGAUUGAGGUGUUAAUACCAGUGAUUUUGGACUAAACGAUGCAGAAAUCAAUAAAAUGACCAAAUACUGAGACAUCAAGAAAGAAGUGAAAAGAUCCUGGAAGUUGAAGAAUGCCAAAGUUGGACCAGUGAUGGAUUGAGAUACGGGAAUGAUGAUGAAGAAUGUCACAUAGAUAUUCAAAACCAUCCCUGGUAAUAUUAUUACAAAUGAACUGCAGUUGGAAGCUGUCCGGGGCUCAGCGACGAUCCUGAAGAGAGCCCUCGGCACAAAAAUUUGAGAAAAGAAAACUUCACAGCUUGGUCUAUGAAGCGUGACCCCUUUCUGAAAUGGAAGUGGAUACUUUGAGCCCGCCCUGCAAGGACUCCAUUCCUAGAUGUAGAUACCAAUCAAUGACACACACACACACACACACACACACACACACACACACACACACACACACACACACAAAUUUUGAGACCGGAUAGGUCUCUGUUUCACCUCAUGAAACCCACCCACCACAUGGGGAGAUAGCAGGAAACAACAUCAACUUGCAUGCACACGCAGAUGCUUUGAAACCUGGGGCGUGAGCAUUUAAAACCCAUGCUAUCUUCCUGGCAAAGGUCUGCCUGCAUGCAUGCAUGCUCGUGCAUGCAGCGACCAUUGCACCCCACUGGUUGGCUUAUUCCAAAUCUGAUUCAUAAAUGCUCGUCACCUCAACAGAGAGGGAAGGUUGGGGAGCUGGGUGAGGGGUGGGAGAGAAAGCAAGAAGUUGGGUUCGGAAAGAAGGAAAGGAGUGGGAAUCUGCUGGAGUCAGAUGUGAUGCCCAGUUAAUCAUCCAUCCGAGAGAUGGUACACAUGUCACCCUGCCUGUGAAACACCGGGAUGAAAGUUUAUAGCUUGGUUGGGAUUUGAAUCCAGACUACACAGAGUAAGCAUGCAUACCUCUCGGCUUUCUCGCCAUGGUGCGGUGAUUCAUUAUUUUAUAACUGAAAAUAUUUUUUGCACAUUGUUAUCAAAUCAUUUAUUUUGCCUUCCUACUUCGGGUAUAGAACCUCAGUUGCACCAUUGAAAUGUGCGCCAAGCAAAAUGAUUGAAGAAGCUUUUAAAAGGAAGUGUUUAAUUUUUAUUUGUAUUUAUCUAUGUCAAAGUGAUGGGUCAAAAAUGGAAGAUCAUACAAAAAGUUGAAAUGUCGUGGAAAAUAAAAUUUCACAUUUUCAGUGAGCUUGCCUGUUGCAUCGCAGAACAACACGUGGUGAAGAACGUAUGCGAGUGACCCCUUAACUUUGUUCAAAUUGAUCUACAUACAGUAUUCAGUGACAGUGUGAAUAUUGCAGAGCACUGGCUUAAGCACUUCAACGAAAUGGUUGAUAAGAAACAGCUCACUUUGCAGGCAAUUAGCAAACAUCCAAACUGUCAUUUUAAACAUACACUUCCCGGAGAUGCCCGAAAUGUCAAAUAUGUCCGAAUUGGACAAAUGAAGACUUUUUAGGAGUCGGAGCUGCUUGGAAGUUCGAUUCUGCAACUUAAAUUUUGUAAUUCUGCUUAGUUUAAGAGAAACUCAUAGUGAUUGCAUGUGCAAAAAUGAAAUAAAGCCACCAAUGCUGACGUCUCUGGACGUUUAUAAGCAUUGAACUGUAACCAGUGAUUCGUAGCUAUGAUGAACAGGCAUUCGAUAAUAAGAGUGAGGAAAGUGAAAAAAACAAAACUUUACCAUUAAGAAAUAGUUGCGGCCUAUUUCAAGUUAGGGCAUGGUUGAGCAGGCCAAAAUAUGGUGGCUUCAGACCCCAGCAAGGUUACCUGAGAUACACCUUAAGACCCCAUAGAGAGUGGUGACCAAGGAUGUGCCUGAUAAAAGGAUUUAAUUAAAUAAGGCCGUUAUUAUAAAAGAGGUGUUUUCAUUAACCCAAAUAUCCAAUUUUCACUAAUGCACUUCCUUGGAAUUUUCUUAGUAUGCAGGCAAAGUUUCAGACUGCUAGGUUUCAUGGUCUUGUAGUAAAUGGAGGAG